GUCUAUGGCCAUUCCACCCUGAACGUGCCUGAUCUCGUCUGAUGUUGGAAGCUAAGCGGGGUCGGGCCUGGUUAGUACUUGGAUGGGAGAAUCACCACACAAGUUAAGACAGUUGCAGAAU
rnacentral:rRNA from 1 species